rnacentral:tRNA from 1 species
GGCACCAUAGCUCAGUAGUUAGAGCACUGGCCUGGCAAGCUGGGGGCGGUGAGCUUGAACCUUGCCUGGGCCU